AGAGUGCCUCCUCAGGAAGUGGAGGCAGGUUGGGGCACAAAUGAAGCCCCAGUCCAAUCCAGUGAGCAGAGCAGCAUGCACUCCUAUAGCCACAUGCAGUGACCCUUGUGUAUGUGAGUGCCUGUCAUGUGCCCACGUAAACUGGUGGCACAAAAGGUACUUCACUUAGAUUUCAAGGACCGAGACACAGAACCUUCUGGGGACAUACCACAAUAAUCCUCCCACUAGCAUUCACCUUAAGAUGAAAUUAUUUUCUUCUAGUUGAUGUGGAUUCCCCAGAUUUAUCUCAUUUCAUGAUGUUUUCAGAAUUGUGUGUUGUGCUGCCAUCACACUUGACAUUCUCAGUAAGGAGCUCCCAGUUGUCAAACCCAUUAUUGUUCCUCUUUAUUGCACAUGAUAUCCUAUAAAGAAGAUAUAUGUCUAUAAUCGAGCUUCGAAGGAGGGCCAUGGAGCCAGUUCCUUUUAAAAGGAAUGGAGUCAAGCAGUAAAUUUGCUGGUCACUCUUUUCAUAUGGACCGCAUCUUAGCCAGCAGUUGGUCUUUGAUGUUGUAACAAUGGCACUGGGCCCUGAGGCAGAGGAGCACCCCCCUAAUACUGAAACUAGUCUGCAUUCAUUCCAAUUUGGAGAACAAUCUGUGUGCUAGCACUCAAUCAGGGAGCCCAGAGAGUGAACUCCAGGGCUGUGAGUUAUCUUUCUCAGUGAAAACCAGCCAUCUCUUCUACACCAUUUACCCUGCCUGCCGCAUUCUUUAUUUUUUUUUUUAAGUAUGAUAUUCCUACAGAAAUAUAUACAUAACUCUACAGCUCAAUGAGAUUUCACAACCUGAAAACGCCUAUGUAACCAACGCCUAGAUCAAGAGGCAGAGCAUUACCAGCGCCCUACCUGCCCUCCUUGGACUCCCUUUUCAUCACUUCUUUGACAAGGGUAACUCUCUCCUAACAGCACAUAACCCUUGUUCCUGGUUUUGAAUUUUACGUAAACAGAAUCCUUUUUCCUGGUUUUGAAUUUUACAUAAACAAUACUGUGCCUGGCUUCCUUCACUCAACAUUACAUCUGUGAAAUUGUG